rnacentral:rRNA from 1 species
GGAUCAGUACGCUGGUCGUGCCUUUGGUAUGUACUGGUGUCACUGAUUCCUCCCUUCUGAAGAACCGUUAUGCCAUUUAUUUGGUGUGGCGAGGAAUCAGGACUGUUACUUUGAAAAAAUUAGAGUGUUUAAAGCAGGCUCGCGCUUGAAUACAUUAGCAUGGAAUAAUGAAAUAGGACGUUUGAUCUUAUUUUGUUGGUUUCUAGGAUCGACGUA